UAUAAAAGAAAUUUCAAUAAUUUACCUUUUGUAUCAGGGUUUUUUAAAAUUAUUAAUAAAUAAGUUAUCUCGAAGCAAUAAUGAGCUAAUAAAUUUAUUUUUGUUGUAGUAAAAUAAUUAAUUAUAUUAGUAAUGAAAUGUUAUCGUAUUUUGGUUUAUCUAGUUAUUUGAAUAGUUUAAUUUAUAAGUAGUUGUAAACUAAGUAAAUAGAAGAGCUAAUUUUUUUAUUUAAAUAAAUAAAAAAAUUUUUUAUUAUUAAUUAGGUUUAAUAUUAAUCAUAUUUAUAUGUUGUUAUAAAUAAUUAAAUGUUUAAUUAUGUAUAUUAUUAUUAUUUAAGUUAUGGGGGUUAUUAUAUAAUUUUUAAAAAUAAUGAAUUAAUUAGUAUUAGAUUUAUAUUAUAUAUCUAACUCGUAGUUUAUUUGAUAGUUUAACAAAAACAUUUUUUUUAGUAAAUUAAAAAUAAGGCCUGCCCAGUGAAUUUUUUAACGGCUGCAGUAUUUUAACUGUACUAAGGUAGCAUAAUCAUUUGUUUUUUAAUUGAAAACUGGUAUGAACGGUUUUACAAAUAAUUAAUUGUAAUAUAUUUAUUUAGUAAAUUUUAUUUUUAAUAAAAAUAUUCAAAUAUAAUAAAGGGACGAUAAGACCCUAAAAGCUUUUUUAUUAUUUUGUUUUAAUAAAAUUAAUAAAUUUAGUUGGGGAAAUAUAUAUAUAAAUUUUAUUUUAUUAAAAUACAAGUAUUUUUGGUAAUUUGAUCUUUUUUAUAAAGAAAAAUAGAACUAGUUACUUUAGGGAUAACAGCGUAAUAAUUUUAGAAAGGUCUUAUUAAUAAAAUUGCUUACGACCUCGAUGUUGAAUUAAAAUGUCUAUAUAUCGUAGAAGGUAUAUAAGAAGGUUUGUUCAACCUUUAAUUUUUUACAUGAUUUGAGUUCAAAU
rnacentral:rRNA from 1 species